rnacentral:misc_RNA from 1 species
AUUUUUGGAAGAAUCUGGCCUGCUGCUUAUGAUUGCAAUCCUUAGCGGGUAGCUUUUGUGCCUGAUGCUCAAUUGAAUCACAAAAGCUUGGAUCCAACUAUAAUGCCCAAAUCGUUGCAUUUUAUCUCCUUAAGCUGAUCUUUCCAAUUACUCCAUUCUCACAAAACAACAUAAACCCUAGCUAGCGUUAGAUCUCAUCACCAUGGGUGACUACAACGACGCCUUCAUGCGCAACCAAAACGUAGCCGUUCGUGGCACCACCAAGGGCCAGAACCGCGCUAAUGUUCUCCAGCUCAAACUGAUUGGGCAAAGCCACCCGACUGGUUUAACAGCUAAUUUGUUGAAACUAUUUGAGCCUCGACCUCCACUGGAGUAUAAACCCCCUCCAGAGAAGAGAAAAUGCCCACCAUACAAUGGCAUGGCGCAGUUUGUGAGUCUGUUUGCUGAGCCUGGGGAUCCUGAAUAUGCUCCAUCGGUUCAGAAAGCUGAAAUUCCUGCACAAAGAAGGGCUAGAAUUCACAAAUUACGACUUGAGAAAGGUGCAGAGAAGGCUGCUAAGGAGCUUCAGAUAUAUGAUCCGAAUAAUGACCCAAAUAUUUCAGGAGAUCCAUACAAGACAUUGUUUGUUGCUAGGCUUAAUUAUGAGACAACUGAGAGUAGAAUUAAAAGGGAGUUUGAGUCUCAUGGACCAAUAAAACGGGUAGGUAUUUUCAAGUGUACCCAAGCGGAUUUGGUAAGAGGUUAUGCGGUGAUAUUAUCUAAAUGCUUCACAAUUUGCUUUUUUCCCCCUUUCCAAAUUCUGGUUUUUGAAAAUCUUUAAGUUCACGCCUUCUAUUCUCAAUGUUUUGAACUUAAUAAAAGAUUUUCGAGGCACUAAAGUUUCUCCUAAUUAUCUGCCUGUAUUUUGCUAAUAUUCCUUAGUUGAACCUAUGAUAACUCAGCAUUAAAGCUUUUGCUGCUUGGUAAGAUUACUUUUAAAAGCCCUUUUAACCAAACUUUUGAAUUCAGUAGAGUAUCACAGUUUCAACAGUUCUGCAUUGGUGGUAAGUGUAAUUAGUUAUGUGUAGUGCAUCUUCAGCGUCUAUUGAAAGGGAGAAUGAUAAUGUUGAGCAUCUACCUGUUGUGUAGUAUCAUUGGAGUAUGCAAAUAAUAGCAGAGAUAUCACAGCCUAUUUACUGGUAAAGGCUUUGGUUUGUUCCGCUGAUCCUUUGAUUACUCUGCUUUAAAUUUAGUUUGGUUUAGAAAUCAUCAUUGGAUUUUUGGUGGGGGGUGUGGGGGUGUUGUUCCGUUUCUAGGUAUUUUGUUUAGUAUUAAGAUUCUUCAUGUUAAGAGAUCCCUAGUAAGGAGGCUGUUUGUUCUGUUCUAUGAAUAGAAAUUUUUCUUCCCCUUUUCCUUACCAUCCAAUUCCAAUGAUGUUCUUCAUCCUGCCAGCAAAGCUGUUAAAUUAAGUUGAGCAGAGCAGUGAUUUACUGUGCCAUUUGGCCUUAUUUUCAAGCUACAAAAGGAGAUUGGCAUCUGUUCUUUUCCAUGCAAUGGGUAAAACAUGUCGGGAGUAUUAGCAUUUCUUUCUCCUUGUUUGAGUUUUUUUGUAAUGCAUUUCCCUGCUACUAAAAAUUUUAUUUUUGGCUCCAAAGGCUGUCAAAACAUAUCGGCAGUUGAGAAGAUGUCCCGGUAUUUGCUACUUUAUUUAUAACUAUAUUUUAUUCUUUAAAACAUGCGUUCCCUGGUAAGGGGAUAUUAGUCUGUUCAAGAAUUGGUAAAUUUGCCACGAAGUAUCAGUUUUUCUGCAA